rnacentral:piRNA from 1 species
UUUAGUAAUGACAAUCGCUAA